UACGUAGGGGGCAAGCGUUGUCCGGAUUUAUUGGGCGUAAAGAGCGUGUAGGCGGCCUGAAAGGUCAGCUGUGAAAACUCGAGGCUCAACCUCGAGACGUCGGUUGAAACCAUCUGGCUAGAGUCCGGAAGAGGAGUGUGGAAUUCCCGGUGUAGCGGUGAAAUGCGCAGAGAUCGGAAAGAACACCAACGGCGAAAGCACUCUGCUGGGCCGACACUGACACUGAGAGACGAAAGCUAGGGGAGCGAAUGGG
rnacentral:rRNA from 1 species